AGAUUUAGCUUCGUAGUGACCUGCGGAGGAUCAUUACUGAAAUGUAAUAACUUCUAUUGAAAGGUUCCAGAGUAGGCGCUACAACGCCGAAAUGACCUUCUCACCCUUGUGUACUCACUAUGUUGCUUUGGCGGGUCGACCUGGUUCCGACCCAGGCGGCCGGCGCCCCCAGCCUUAACUGGCCAGGACGCCCGGCUAAGUGCCCGCCAGUAUACAAAACUCAAGAAUUCAUUUUGUGAAGUCCUGAUAUAUCAUUUAAUUGAUUAAAACUUUCAACAACGGAUCUCUUGGUUCUGGCAUCGAUGAAGAACGCAGCGAAAUGCGAUAAGUAAUGUGAAUUGCAGAAUUCAGUGAAUCAUCGAAUCUUUGAACGCACAUUGCGCCCUCUGGUAUUCCGGAGGGCAUGCCUGUUCGAGCGUCAUUUCAACCCUCAAGCUCUGCUUGGUAUUGGGCAACGUCCGCUGCCGGACGUGCCUUGAAGACCUCGGCGACGGCGUCCUAGCCUCGAGCGUAGUAGUAAAAUAUCUCGCUUUGGAGUGCUGGGCGACGGCCGCCGGACAAUCGACCUUCGGUCUAUUUUUCCAAGGUUGACCUCGGAUCAGGUAGGGAUACCCGCUGAACUUAAGCAUAUCAAAAACCGGAGGGAA
rnacentral:rRNA from 1 species